AAAUUACGAGAGCACGAUGACCGCUCGCUCCAUUUAAUGAAUUAAUUAAUGGCGGAGGCGGCCGAUCGAGACCGACGGCGACCGGUCUCCCACGGCUCUUAGUUGGGAAAAGGCGCGCGCGCUGGCCCUAUCAAUGGAGGCAUCUAUCAUCGGCCGGGCGGCCGGUCACUCACCGUCCCUCGCGUCGGCGUCGUCCCGCCCGGCGUCUCUCUGGAGUAAUAAAUUUCGUCUCCUCGAUCUCCGCUUUUGAAGAGUGAGACGGCUGCCACUGAAGGCACUGAUCACCAUCUCAGUAUCUCACAAUCUCAUCAGGAUAGUACACUGUGCUCCUUGCAAUCAAAUAAUGGAAGGGAUCAUGGUGGGAAGGGAUAAUAAUGGUGGCUAAUUAAAUUAAAGGCACGGCUCGGCUCACGGUUGGCGAGCUUUGGUGUUGUGUUAGCAUGCUCUGUUCUGUUCAUCAGAUAAGGCCCAUCGUUCUCACCCGUGCCUUGUAAUUUGUUGA